UAGAUUCGUGAUGUUGGACCGG
rnacentral:miRNA from 1 species